GGGUGGUAAUGCCGGAUGCUCCAGUUGAUCGCAUGGUCUUCUGGGAAAGCUUUCGCGGUAUGGGAUGGGGUCGCGUCCUAUCAGCUUGACGGCGGGGUAACGGCCCACCGUGGCUUCGACGGGUAGCCGGCCUGAGAGGGCGACCGGCCACAUUGGGACUGAGAUACGGCCCAGACUCCUACGGGAGGCAGCAGUGGGGAAUAUUGCACAAUGGGCGCAAGCCUGAUGCAGCGACGCCGCGUGAGGGAUGGAGGCCUUCGGGUUGUAAACCUCUUUUAUCGGGGAGCAAGCGAGAGUGAGUUUACCCGUGAAUAG
rnacentral:rRNA from 1 species